CCCUUAGAUGUCCUGGGCCGCACGCGCGCUACACUGAUGCAUUCAACGAGUUUUACCUUGGCCGAGAGGCCUGGGCAAUCUUUUAAACCUGCAUCGUGAUAGGGAUAGAUUAUUGCAGUUAUUAAUCUUGAACGAGGAAUUCCUAGUAAACGCAAAUCAUCAAUUUGCAUUGAUUACGUCCCUGCCCUUUGUACACACCGCCCGUCGCACCUACCGAUUGAAUGGUCCGGUGAAGCCUCGGGAUUGUGGCCAGUUCACUUUAUUGGGAGUUGGCUGUGAGAACUUGUCUAAACCUUAUCAUUUAGAGGAAGGUGAAGUCGUAACA
rnacentral:rRNA from 1 species